rnacentral:lncRNA from 1 species
UAGUCUUUUGUUCGCGGUAAAUCGAUGAAAAAAAUUAUUUUUCUAAAUUUGUUUUUGUCGCAUUGAACAAAUAAUCAUAAAAAUGACUUUCUUAAAUUUACAGCUUGUUGAAAAAGAGCAGAACCCAAUAACCUUUGCUGGUAAAGUAGUACGUAUAUUAGGAAACAACUCUCGAAUAAUAAAUCCACCAAAACGCAGUUUCAAAUAAAAUUACGUUUUGUUUCUUUCGUAGGCAAGCGCAAUGUUGAAUUUGCCAGCAGAAAAACCAGAACCGACGAAACGUCGACGAAAUCGAAAUAGAACACGAAAACCGACAUUGGGGCCACGACGAAAUCUUACACCAAAAGAACGAGCUGAGGUGAAUAUUUGACGGAAAAAGUUGUGCAGAUAUAUUUUAUAAUUGCUGGAUUUCUUUCCACACUUUUUUCAUUAGAUAUUUUUUAACUGAAAAUUUGUGAGAAAAUGUGAGAGGUCAAUAGGUUCGUUGCAUUCGACUAAUGGAUUCAUCGUUUUGUUUAAUUUGAUGACUUUCUUUGAUAUUUGGACUUGAUUAGUAAUGACCAUCUGAAUGUGCAUAUUUUGUCAGAUUUUAAUCAAGUAAGUCAAUUACUGUGAAGGUCUUUCACAACUUAGAAUGGAUUCAAAUUGAAUAAACAAAAUUUUGGGGGCCUCUCUAUAAGAACAGAUUCAGUGUAAUUGAGUGGAUUUUUAUAAAGCUGUUUGCUUCUUUAUGAGAGUCGAUAAUUUCGGAAUCUGGGAGGUUUUAAAUUUUUUUUCACAGAAUUUCAUCUGCUUGUCUAUCUUUUGCGCUCCGUACCAGACAAAAUCACGAUUACAAUGAGAAUAAUGAAUUUCACUCCACAGCUCGGAAAGAACGCAUUCAACAUGUUGAUAGAAGAUGGUAAGACUUUAAUAACAUAUACUUGGAUAGAAAUGCAACCUUAAAUUCUAGUGUAGUGAAUGAAAAAUAAUGUUUUUGCUUCACGAGUAACAUUUUUGCUGCAUUUGUAAGCAUUAUGUUUCUUAACAAUCAAAAUAUUUUUUAUUCAGUCUAAUUGACCUUAGCGACUCUCUUACACAGACACAACCAGGAAAACGUCGUCGAGAGCGCGAGCCCUAAGAUCUCUGGAAUAACGUAAAUUCCUAGCGAAUUUCAAGAUACUUGUGGAUGUGUGUAACAGUUGAACAAUAAAAAUAUAAUACAAUUCGUGCACGAAUACUGAGUCUUUUUAGGAUGAUCGAACCGUACAAAACCGUAAGAAAAUAUAAACUUCGAGUCAGCUAAUCAUAGCCAAAAACGUAGAUUGAAAACUGUGGACCCCAAAAGAAAAAAAAAGCACGAGAUAGUUUUGGAAAACAGCAUUUUUUGUAUGUAUUCAAACAAUCACUGCUGGAAAAAGAUUCUUGUAACACGUUGACAAGUUUUGUUCGUCAAGUUUUCUCAAAUAGUUGUAGAAAAAUUGUCUCGUUAAAAAAGGAUACAAAAGGAAAGGUACUUCAGGAAUAAUGCGAAGAAAAUACUUGGUAGAAAUUAAAUUCAAUAAUAAAAUGAAAAUUAAAUCACGCUAAGCGGAAAGUGAAGAAAAUCGUUUAUUCAACAAAUUUAUUUGAUUAUUUGUUGGAAGAAAGAGUAAGAUGGACG